rnacentral:lncRNA from 1 species
AAUUGCUUUAGCAAACUUCUCCUGAUUUUAACAUUCCUCUAGAUAUUAAGGUUGCAUUUCAUGAUUUAUUCCUGCUUCCUGGUAAUGCGGUGUCUUGUUUCAUAGUGGGUACUUGAAUAUUUGUUAGUAAGAGGACAUGUGAGAGUAAGAGGCACUUCUUCCAGCAGAAACACCUGCACUUUCCAACUUGCCCCUGGUCAGGAGAGUUCAACAACCAAAGUUAUAACAUUCUGUGUGCAAGGAUGAACAUCUUUUCAGUAUAAGUACAAAGAAAAGCCUUAAUAAAAUAUAAUAUGUGAAUAGGAGUAUCUAUCUUGCCUAAUGUUGUAUACCUAAAAGGCUGAGCACCUAAGCAAUGAUAAAAAGACUUCCUCUGCCGAGCAGCAGGAAGACAUGAGUCCCUGGGGCAAAAUAGCCCAUUUCCACUGUGAGGCAGGGCAUGGAUCAAUGUUGCAGGUGUUUGUCUUUAGUGACUAAGCUGUCCAGUGGACCAGUGAAGCUAGAUCCUUGACUUUUAGGUGAUUAAUGUACAUGAGAUUAAUCCUAUUCAUAAUUCAUGAUGUAAUAAUAACAUAAUUAGAUGAAUUCAUUGCUAUAUGUUUGUUGCCAUGCUCUGUGGAAAGCAGAAGUAAAAUGAAGGGAGACAAUACUGUAAAAAAGACAGAUGCUUAAAAUGGCAGAAAUUGAAGCACAGAUAUUCAAACUUAGUAAUGACAUACAUUAAAAUAGUUUUUGAACGGAAAUAAAAGAAAGCGAACCGAGAGAUAAGCUGUUGUGUGCUCGGAUUGGUGUCCAACUUUGAAUUUGCUGAAUUUGCCUUGAGAAAGAUUCGUGAUUUUGAAAUGUGUGGAAAAUUGCUGUAGGACCUCCUUUUUGUAUCAUCCACAGGCAUCCUGUGCUAAUGUAUGAUGUCAGUGUUCCCUGCACUGCCCAUUUUACCAGCAGAACAUCGGCGGAUGUGUGCUGGAAGCUGGCUGCUCUGCUCCAGGACGGCUGCACAAGGCAUGGAGGGAUGGGGAGCCCUUGCUGCUGAGUUCCAAGCUCUCUGCAAGAUUAUUUGCAGGAGUGAGGAGAAGGAGACAAGCAGUCCAGAACAUUAUCAGUCAGUUGGAGCCUGGUUAAGUACUUCAUCAUAAUUCGUCUUGAACAGCGUUAAAAAUUACAUGCCAUAAUUGAAGGAGAGGUGAUUUGCAGUGUAGUAGCCUGUUUGGUGAGUAUGUAGUUCUACAAAUACAUAAUUAUUGCUUUUAGGCUGAGUGCUUGUGGUCUGAGUCCUGGCGCAUAGGUCGCCAGCUCUGCCCAGUGCAGCUCUACGCAGUUGCCGUGGAUUCAGCGGUGCUGCCCCAAUGCAGGGCAACUCGGGAUCUUGCCAAGCCUACAAAUAUGAAUGCCAUUCUGUAUGUUAUUCCAGCUGUGUAAAUCUGAACUAUUAACAUCAUUAGUGUGUAUUUAUCACUGUCAGACUAAGAAAGCUGUGAAGAAACGGCUAUGGUCGAAAGCAGUUAAUUAAUGAGCUUAAAAACGAGAUUGUAGCUUAUCUUAAUGCAGCUAUAUAGGCAGAUGCAGGCUGUAAUACACCUUUUUCUCUAUCCUGCUGUCCCAGUUUCAGCCAGGAUGGAGUUGAUUUUUCUUUCAUAGUGUCUGGUACGAUGCUGUGUUUUGGCUGUAGGAGAAAAGCAAUGUUGAUAACACACUGAUGUUUUAGUUGUUGCUGAGCAGUGCUGAACAGAGCCAAGGCCAUUUCAGUUUCUUAGCUUCUUGUACUGCCCUAGUGAGGGGGGCCGAGGAGGCACAUGUGUCAUCCUUUGUUCCUCUUCCUUUUUCUGCCUUAUUAGAAGGCAGAAAGGUAGAAGUCAUCAAAUGGAAUUUUUCUUGUGCCAUGUGGGUUGCUAGGUUGUAUUCUGGAAAGUACCAUUAGACAGAUGAGGAUUAAAAAUGUGCUAGCAUCAGCCUAGGGAGGGGAAGAGGCCGUAUUUCUGUCCUCUCAGAGGUGGUGUGGAGCUGAAGUGAAGAGCUCAGGCAAUCCAUACAUGUACCUGGAGCAUCCACUUCUCUGUCUAAUUUUUGUUUCACAUACAAUGUAUGGCUGUUGGUCCCUUCAAGCACUUGGCAUUGCAGUCGAAAGUGCCUUGUAUU